AUUUUCUUUUCCAGGACCUGCAAAGAACCGAGGUUUCUAAGCAGUAGGGGCCAGCCGCAGCUCACGCCGAGCUACUCGGGAGGCUGAGGUGAGAGGAUCGCUUGAGCCCAGGAGUUCGAGGCUGCAGUGAGCUGUGAUUGCACCAUUGCACUCAAGCCUGGACAACACAGUGAGAUCUUGUCUCAAAAAAAAAAAAAAAAAGCCUGGUGCGCUGGCUCACGCCUGUAGUCCCAACACUUAGGGAGGCCGAGGCGGGCAGAUCACUGGAGGUGAGGAGUUCAGAUAUUACCCUGGCCAACAUGGUGAAACCCUGUCUCAACUAAAAAUACAAAAAUUAUUCAUGCAUGGUGGGGCACCCGUAAUCCCAGCUACCCUGGAGGCUGAGGCACAAGAAUCGCUCAAACCUGGGAGGCAGAGGUUGCAGUGAGCCGAGAUCGUGCCACUGCACUUCAGCCUGGGCUACAGAGCUAGCCAAAAAAAAAGAAAGAAAAGAAAAGAAAAAAGAAAGAGGAGGAAGGAAGGGGGGGAAGAGCAGGAAGGAAGAGCAGGAAGAAAAAAGGAGAGAAGGAAGGAGAGGAAGGGAGGGAGGGAAGGAGGAAGGAAGGAAGGGAGAAAGGGAGGGAGGGAGGGAAGGAAGGAAGGAGGGAGGGCAGGCGGGCAGCGGGAGAAACAGGAACAACAUAACUGAAGAGGAGAUACAGAGCAAGGGCACUGAGUAAAGUGUGGCCCAUCAGGGAAGGUUCUCAGAGAGGCGAGUCUGGAACAGCAUUGUAAUAUCUAAAUCUCUUGACUGGGAUUAGCCAUCAGGAAAAGAAGAAGUCGUCCCAGAGAAACAGUUCUCAAACUGUUGGAUCUUGGGACCCAUUUACAGUAUUAGAAAUUAUAGAAGAGGCCAUUUUCCAUAUUAGACAUUUUUGAGGCCAGGUGCAGUGGCUCAUGCCUGUAAUUCCAACAUUUUGGGAGGCUGAGGCGAGUGGAUCGCUUGAGUGAGGUCAGCAGUUCAAGACCAACCUGGCUAACAUGGUGAAACCCCAUUUCAAAAUACAAAAAAAUUAGCUGGGUAUGGUGGCAGGCGCCUAUAAUCCCAGCUACUCAGGAGACUGAGACAGAAUCGCUUGAACCCAAGAGGUGAAGUUUGCAGUGAGCCAGCAUCAUACCACUGCACUCCAGUCUGGGUGACAGAGCAAGACUAUGUCUCAAAAAAAAAAAAAAAAAAAAAAAAAAAAAAAGGCAUGUGCCUGUAGUCUUAGCUAUUUCCAGCUUUUCUGGAGACUGAGGCAAGACAAUCUCUUAGUUAAGGAGUUCGAGACCAGCUGGGGCAACAUAUCGAGAGCCGUUUCAAAAAAAUUUAAAAAGCUAUCAAGCCAUGAAAAAACAUGGAAGAACCUUAAAUUCAUAUUGCCAAGUGAAAGAAAUCAAUGUGGAAAGACUGCAAACUGUAUGAUUCCAACUAUAUGGCAUAUAUAUAUAUAUAUAUAUAUAUUUUUUUUUUUUUUUGAGUCAAAGUCUUGCUCUGUUGCCCAAGAUGGUCUUGAACUCCUGGUCUCAAGCAAUCCUCCCGCUUCAGCCUCCCAAAGUGCUGGGAAUACAGGCAUGAGGCACUGCGCUUGGCCUCAACUAAAUGAUAUUCUAAAAAGGCUAAACUAUGGAGACAAUAAUAAGAUCAGUGACUGCCAGGGAGGUAGAGUUGCCGGGAGGAAGGGAUGAUAGGUGGAGUACAGGGGAGUUUUACAGAAGUGAAACUAUUUUGUAUGAUGUUGUAAUAGUGUCAUGGUGGAUAUACAUCAUACCUGUGUGUAAACCCUUAGAAUGUACAAUGCAAAGAGUAAACCCUAAUGUAAUUUAUGGACUUUGUUAAUUAUAAUGUAUCAAUAUGGACUAUGUUAAUAAUAUACUGAUACUGGCUCAUCAGUUGUAACAAAUGCACCACACCAACUGAAAAAGGUUAAUAAUAGGAUAAAUGGGGAGCCUGAAGGGGGAUAUGGGAACUCUCUGCACUUUUUCUUUUUUUUGAGACACAGUCUUCCUCUGUCACCCAGGCUGGAGGGGCAGUGGCACAAUCUUGACUCACUGCAGCCUUGACCUUCCAGGCUCAAGUGAUCCUCCUACCUCAGCCUCCCAAGUACCUGGACUACAGGUGUGCAUCACUGCGCCUGGCUAAUAUUUGUAUGUUUUGUAGAGAUGGGGUUUCACCAUGUUGCCCAGGCUGGCCUCAAACUUUUGAGGUCAAGUGAUCCUCCCUCCUUGGCCUCCUGAAGUGUUGGGAUUAUAGGUGUGAGCCACCGCUCUCAGGCCUGGAAUUCUCUGUACUUUCUGCCCAAUUUUUCUGUAAGCCUAAAACUAUCCACCCAAAAUAGUCUGUUAAUUUAAAAACAACCAUAGGCUGGGCAUAGUGGCUCAUGCCUGUAAUCCCAGGAAUUUGGGAGGCCAAUAAGGGAGGAUCACUUGAGCUGAGGAAUUCAAGACCAGCCUGGGCAACAUGGUGAAACCCCAUCUCUACAAAACAUACAGAAAAUACAAAAAUUAGCCAGGCACAGUGGUGCACGCCUGGAGUCCCAGCUGCUUGGGAGGCUAAAGUGGGAAGAACACUUGAGCCUGGGAGGUUGAGACCACAGUGAGAUGUCAUUGUGCCACUGCACUCCAGCCUGGGCAACAGUGAGACCCUGUAAGGAGGGAGAGGAGGAGGGAGAGGGAGAGGGGGUCCAGCUGCAUCAAAGAAUGCAACUGGACACUAUCUGCUUUUUUGGUUGUGUGCAUCAAAGGGAUACUUGAGAGUGAAAAGAAUGAAAGUUUUUUUGUUUUUUUGGGUUUUUUUUGAGACGGAGUUUCA